rnacentral:rRNA from 1 species
GCGAUACAGGGUGACAGCCCCGUACACAAAAAUGCACAUAUUGUGAGCUCGAUGAGUAGGGCGGGACACGUGGUAUCCUGUCUGAAUAUGGGGGGCCCAUCCUCCAAGGCUAAAUACUCCUGACUGACCGAUAGUGAACCAGUACCGUGAGGGAAAGGCGAAAAGAACCCCGGCGAGGGGAGUGAAAAAGAACCUGAAACCGUGUACGUACAAGCAGUGGGAGCACGCUUAGGCGUGUGACUGCGUACCUUUUGUAUAAUGGGUCAGCGACUUAUAUUCUGUAGCAAGGUUAACCGAAUAGGGGAGCCGAAGGGAAACCGAGUCUUAACUGGGCGUUAAGUUGCAGGGUAUAGACCCGAAACCCGGUGAUCUAGCCAUGGGCAGGUUGAAGGUUGGGUAACACUAACUGGAGGACCGAACCGACUAAUGUUGAAAAAUUAGCGGAUGACUUGUGGCUGGGGGUGAAAGGCCAAUCAAACCGGGAGAUAGCUGGUUCUCCCCGAAAGCUAUUUAGGUAGCGCCUCGUGAAUUCAUCUCCGGGGGUAGAGCACUGUUUCGGCAAGGGGGUCAUCCCGACUUACCAACCCGAUGCAAACUGCGAAUACCGGAGAAUGUUAUCACGGGAGACACACGGCGGGUGCUAACGUCCGUCGUGAAGAGGGAAACAACCCAGACCGCCAGCUAAGGUCCCAAAGUCAUGGUUAAGUGGGAAACGAUGUGGGAAGGCCCAGACAGCCAGGAUGUUGGCUUAGAAGCAGCCAUCAUUUAAAGAAAGCGUAAUAGCUCACUGGUCGAGUCGGCCUGCGCGGAAGAUGUAACGGGGCUAAACCAUGCACCGAAGCUGCGGCAGCGACGCUUAUGCGUUGUUGGGUAGGGGAGCGUUCUGUAAGCCUGCGAAGGUGUGCUGUGAGGCAUGCUGGAGGUAUCAGAAGUGCGAAUGCUGACAUAAGUAACGAUAAAGCGGGUGAAAAGCCCGCUCGCCGGAAGACCAAGGGUUCCUGUCCAACGUUAAUCGGGGCAGGGUGAGUCGACCCCUAAGGCGAGGCCGAAAGGCGUAGUCGAUGGGAAACAG